rnacentral:rRNA from 1 species
CAGCGCUGCAAGUGGGAAUCACGAUUAUUGGGCCUAAAGCGUCCGUAGCCGGUUUGGUAAAUCUUUUGUGAAAUUGGUGGACUCAAUCCAUCAACGUGCAGGAGACACUACUAAACUUGAGACCGGGAGGGGUUGGGAGUAUUCUAGGGGGAGCGGUAAAAUGCUAUAAUCCCUAGAGGACUACCUGUGGCGAAGGCGCCCAACCAGAACGGAUCUGACGGUGAGGGACGAAGGCCAGGGGAGCGAUCCGGAUUAGAUACCCGAGUAGUCC